UCGAGGAUCUUCGUCAAUGGGCGCAAGCCUGAACGAGCGACGCCGCGUGUGCGAUGAAGGCCUUCGGGUUGUAAAGCACUGUCGAGGGGGAGAAAGCCAGCGCAAGCUGGUUGAUCGAUCCCUGGAGGAAGCACGGGCUAAGUUCGUGCCAGCAGCCGCGGUAAGACGAACCGUGCGAACGUUGUUCGGAAUCACUGGGCUUAAAGGGCGCGUAGGCGGCCUGCAAGGUCGGGGGUGAAAUCCCACGGCUCAACCGUGGAAGUGCCUCCGAUACCGGCGGGCUCGAGGAAGGUAGGGGUGCGCGGAACUUCUGGUGGAGCGGUGAAAUGCGUUGAUAUCAGAAGGAACGCCGGCGGCGAAAGCGGCGCACUGGACCUUUUCUGACGCUGAGGCGCGAAAGCCAGGGGAGCAAACGGGAUUAGAUACCCCGGUAGUCC
rnacentral:rRNA from 1 species